rnacentral:rRNA from 1 species
UACAGAGGGUGCAAGCGUUGUUCGGAAUUAUUGGGCGUAAAGCGCGUGUAGGCGGCUUUGCAAGUCGGGUGUGAAAUCUCGGAGCUUAACUCCGAAACUGCAUUCGAUACUGCCGUGCUUGAGGACUGGAGAGGAGACUGGAAUUUACGGUGUAGCGGUGAAAUGCGUAGAUAUCGUAAGGAAGACCAGUGGCGAAGGCGGGUCUCUGGACAGUUCCUGACGCUGAGGCACGAAGGUCAGGGGAGCAAACGGG